rnacentral:lncRNA from 1 species
CACAUGGUUGAUCAAGAUCUCAGACAAAGAGUAAAUCAAGAUGAUCAACACACAAAGCGUACAAGAUGUACCGAGAGGGAUCAAGUGAUCCCAUGGUAUGGUAAGCAUUGUCCAUUAAGUGUUUGUGUACUAACCCAUAGUCUUCGUGAGAGUUCUAUAUGGGGGUUAGGUGUGUUUCCAACACAUGGUUGAUCAAGAUCUCAGACAAAGAGUAAAUCAAGAUGAUCAACACACAAAGCGUACAAGAUGUACCGAGAGGGAUCAAGUGAUCCCAUGGUAUGGUAAGCAUUGUCCAUUGCGUGUUUGUGUACUAACCCAUAGUCUUCGUGAGAGUUCUAUAUGGGGGUUAGGUGUGUUUCCAUGGGUUUGCAUCAAAGGGAAGAUCUCAUACAACCCAUGAAGUAUGACGUCGAGUUGUGAUCGUCAUCAAGAUUGCAAUGUGCAAGUUCAAGUGGAUCAGCACGAAGAUAUCAUGCUUGAAGCUUGCCGUCCGUUGUGGUGGCAAUGGACUUGUGAAGAUAUGCUGAAGAGUGGCUCACCCAUAGUGAGUAUGGGGGAGCAAUCAACUAGUCUUCAUCAAGCCAACACAAUCAAGAAAGCUGGUCCAUCUUGAGGAAGCCAAGAUCAUCA